ACUCCUACGGGAGGCAGCAGUGGGGAAUCUUGGACAAUGGGGGCAACCCUGAUCCAGCCAUGCCGCGUGAGUGAUGAAGGCCCUAGGGUCGUAAAGCUCUUUCGCCUGUGAAGAUAAUGACUGUAGCAGGUAAAGAAACCCCGGCUAACUCCGUGCCAGCAGCCGCGGUAAUACGGAGGGGUUAGCGUUGUUCGGAAUUACUGGGCGUAAAGCGCGCGUAGGCGGACUGGAAAGUUGGGGGUGAAAUCCCAGGGCUCAACCCUGGAACUGCCUCCAAAACUAUCAGUCUAGAGUUCGAGAGAGGUGAGUGGAAUUCCGAGUGUAGAGGUGAAAUUCGUAGAUAUUCGGAGGAACACCAGUGGCGAAGGCGGCUCACUGGCUCGAUACUGACGCUGAGGUGCGAAAGUGUGGGGAGCAAAACAGGAUUAGAUACCCUGGUAGGCGUAG
rnacentral:rRNA from 1 species